rnacentral:rRNA from 1 species
GGCGUAAGCGCGCGCAGGUGGUUUCUUAAGUCUGAUGUGAAAGCCCACGGCUCAACCGUGGAGGGUCAUUGGAAACUGGGAGACUUGAGUGCAGCAUUAAAAAGUGGAAUUCCAUGUGUAGCGGUGAAAUGCGUAGAGAUAUGGAGGAACACCAGUGGCGAAGGCGACUUUCCCGACAGUAACUGACACUGAGGCGCGAAAGCGUGGGGAGGAAACAGGAUUAGAUACCCUGGUAGUCCACGCCGUAUACGAUGAGUGC